rnacentral:lncRNA from 1 species
GACCAACCUUACCACAUUAUAGCAUUUUCCCAUUUUGCACUCAGUUGCAUAAUGGUCGUGCUUACCACAUUUAAAGUACUCCACUCCUGACUGACCUUCCCGAGCUUUGCCUCGUCCUCAGCCAUGUGAAUUCUGUUGAUUGGUUUCUUCUUUGCCAUCUCCAUGGUCAUCUCAAUCGUUUGGCCACCUCGUCUUCUGCCCCUAAGACCUUGCCUCGAGCUUUUAGAGCUCCUCCAUUCACGUCAAACUUUGCUUAUAGUACUUGAUUAAGUGGUUGAUAGUUCUUCCUUCUCUAUU